AUUGAACGCUGGCGGCAGGCCUAACACAUGCAAGUCGAACGAGUGGCGGACGGGUGAGUAAUGUCUGGGAAACUGCCUGAUGGAGGGGGAUAACUACUGGAAACGGUAGCUAAUACCGCAUACCAUCGGAUGUGCCCAGAUGGGAUUAGCUAGUAGGUGGGGUAAAGGCUAACCUAGGCGACGAUCCCUAGCUGGUCUGAGAGGAGGACCAGCGACAUGGGAACUGAGACACGGUCCAGACUCGUACGGGAGGCAGCAGUGGGGAAUAGGGCACAAUGGGCGCAAGCCUGAUGUAGCCACGGCGCGUGUAUGAAGAAGGCCUUCUGGUUGUAAAGUACUUUCAGCGGGGAGGCGUUACCCGCAGAAGAAGCACCGGCUAACUCCGUGCCAGCAGCCGCGGUAAUUC
rnacentral:rRNA from 1 species